rnacentral:rRNA from 1 species
AUUGAACGCUGGCGGCAGGCUUAACACAUGCAAGUCGAGCGGGGAAGGGUAGCUUGCUACCUGACCUAGCGGCGGACGGGUGAGUAAUGCUUAGGAAUCUGCCUAUUAGUGGGGGACAACAUUCCGAAAGGAAUGCUAAUACCGCAUACGCCCUACGGGGGAAAGCAGGGGAUCUUCGGACCUUGCGCUAAUAGAUGAGCCUAAGUCAGAUUAGCUAGUUGGUGGGGUAAAGGCCUACCAAGGCGACGAUCUGUAGCGGGUCUGAGAGGAUGAUCCGCCACACUGGGACUGAGACACGGCCCAGACUCCUACGGGAGGUAGCAGUGGGGAAUGUUGGACAAUGGGCGAAAGCCUGAUCCAGCCAUGCCGCGUGUGUGAAGAAGGCCUUUUGGUUGUAAAGCACUUUAAGCGAGGAGGAGGCUACCGAGAUUAAUACUCUUGGAUAGUGGACGUUACUCGCAGAAUAAGCACCGGCUAACUCUGUGCCAGCCGCCGCAGUAAUAC